GACAUGCUUACAGAGGAAGUGGAAGACAAGCAAUGGCUUCUGAAAGUAAAAUUGGUAAUGACCAGCAAACACACAGAGAGACUGGAGGCCAAAAGUGAGAAACAUAAAAUUGUAUGGCUCUUCAUUUCAUUGCCUGAAACCAAGAAGCUGGAUAAGUGAUGAGGUUAUUGAUGCAUUUUUGAGCUGUGUAGUUGAGAAAGCAGAUGGAAAGGUAGGCUAGUUACUGUGAUACAUGACACAAUACACUGAUGCACUAAGUAAACAAUCACGGGAAUAUGUGGCACAACAUAUUUAAGUCCAAAUGCCCUUGAAAUAUCAACAGACACCUGAAAUUUCAACAUUUCUGUGUAUAUACUGCUGCCAAACAUUUACUAAAAUGUAUUUGGAGGUGCAUAUCGGACAUACAAUAGAGGGCCACGUUAGUUCUGCUGUACAGUUCAGUGGGUCCAUUAAUUGAACACAAGUAUGCGAACAGCUUAGUCACUUUUUAAAGGAAGUAAGACAGAGCACAUUGAUUACAAAUCAUUUUGUUUUUAUAGGAAUCUCUUACAUAUAUGUGUCUGAUUUGUAACACUAAGGAUCCGUUUCAUGUCUGUCUAUAUUAAAUUCAUUAUGUUCUUGACGUGCCACAAUUAUUAAUGCAUUAAUAGCUUUGUUGAC